rnacentral:rRNA from 1 species
GCUUAACCGGAGAAGUGCAUCGGAAACUGGGAGACUUGAGUGCAGAAGAGGACAGUGGAACUCCAUGUGUAGCGGUGGAAUGCGUAGAUAUAUGGAAGAACACCAGUGGCGAAGGCGGCUGUCUAGUCUGUAACUGACGCUGAGGCUCGAAAGCAUGGGUAGCGAACAGGAUUAGAUACCCUGGUAGUCCAUGCCGUAAACGAUGAGUGCUAAGUGUUGGAGGGUUUCCGCCCUUCAGUGCUGCAGCUAACGCAUUAAGCACUCCGCCUGGGGAGUACGACCGCAAGGUUGAAACUCAAAGGAAUUGACGGGGGCCCGCACAAGCGGUGGAGCAUGUGGUUUAAUUCGAAGCUACGCGAAGAACCUUACCAGGUCUUGACAUCUUCUGCCAAUCUUAGAGAUAAGACGUUCCCUUCGGGGACAGAAUGACAGGUGGUGCAUGGUUGUCGUCAGCUCGUGUCGUGAGAUGUUGGGUUAAGUCCCGCAACGAGCGCAACCCUUAUUAUCAGUUGCCAGCAUUCAGUUGGGCACUCUGGUGAGACUGCCGGUGACAAACCGGAGGAAGGUGGGAUGACGUCAAAUCAUCAUGCCCCUUAUGACCUGGGCUACACACGUGCUACAAUGGACGGUACAACG